GGUCAAGCUUUGGGACAGACAACCCUGGGAAGUGGUGGAGUCACCAUUCUUGGAGGUGUUCAAGAAACCCACAGAUGUGGCACUGGGGGACAUAGUUCAGUGGGCAUGGUGAAGUGUGGCUUCAGACAAAACAAAAUGAGGAAAUGCACUACUCUCCUUGUCAAAGAACUGAGAUUCAAAAGUUGCUAUUUCUACUUUCUGAGACAAUAAGCGAUAGGACACAAUGAAAGGUUUCAAGUUGAGCAGAGAGGAAUUUCUUCAUGGUCAAGCUUUGGAAGAUGCUAUCCAGGGAAGUGAUGAAGUCUGCAUCCCUAGGAGACCUGAGGAGUCCCAGGCUUUACAAAAUGGAGUGAUUCACAGCAGAAGCCACAACAGAGACCACAAUAUGAGAAAGAGCAAAAGAGGAGGAAAGGCAAUGCGAAGGGGAGAAAAAAGGGAAAGAGAUGGUGAGCUCACACCAAGGACAGAUGAAAUAAAUACUUUUCAUUGAAACUGAAGAGUGGUUUCUUGGGGCAUGUGGUUUUAUACAUUUUGCAUCCUAUUAAUUUUGAUGGAGAAAUAUUAAAACUGCAAGAGUGCUGAAGAUGAAUUAACUCACCAAUUACAUGUAUGCAACAG
ensembl:lncRNA